GCCAUAGCUCAGUGGUAUUGCAUCUGCCUCACAUGCAGAAGGUCCCAGGUUCAAUCCCCAGGUAGGCU